rnacentral:tRNA from 1 species
GUCUAUAUAGAUUAAAAAAAUCGUGAUGCUGUUAACCUCAAGAUGAAAUUGUUCUAUAGUCG